CCAGUAGUCAUAUGCUUGUCUCAAAGAUUAAGCCAUGCAUGUCUAAGUAUAAACUUUUAUACUGUGAAACUGCGAAUGGCUCAUUAAAUCAGUUAUCGUCUAUUUGAUUGUGCCCUUACUACAUGGAUAACCGUAGUAAUUCUAGAGCUAAUACAUGCGAAAAGUCCCGACUUCUGGAAGGGAUGUAUUUAUUAGAUUAAAAACCAAUGCGUUUAACGACGCUUUUCGGUGAUUCAUAAUAACUGUUCGAAUCGCAUGGCCCUCGUGCCGGCGAUGUUUCAUUCGAGUUUCUGCCCUAUCAACUUUCGAUGGUAAGGUAUUGGCUUACCAUGGUGACAACGGGUAACGGAGAAUUAGGGUUCGAUUCCGGAGAGGGAGCCCGAGAAACGGCUACCACAUCCAAGGAAGGCAGCAGGCGCGCAAAUUACCCAAUCCCGAUUUGGGGAGGUASUSACAAUAAAUAACGUUGCAGGCGCCAACGGCUUCUGCAGUCGGAAUGA
rnacentral:rRNA from 1 species